GACGAACGCUGGCGGCGUGCUUAACACAUGCAAGUCGAACGGAAAGGCCUCUUUCGGGGGGUACUCGAGUGGCGAACGGGGGAGUAACACGUGAGUAACCUCCCCUUUACUUUUGGAUAACUUCAGGAAACUGUGGCUAAUACCGGAUAUAAGCUCCUCCGGCAUGUGGGGGGUUUGAGAGUUUUGGCGGGUGGGGGUGGACUCGCGGGUUAUCAGCGUGUUUGGGGGGGAGUGGCUUACCAAGGCUCUGACGGGGAGCCGGGCUGGGAGGGUGACCGGCCACAUUGGGAAUGAGAUACGGCCCAGACUCCUACGGGAGGCAGCAGUGGGGAAUAUUGCACCAUGGGUGGGAGCCUGAUGCAGCAACGGCGGGUGGGGGAUGACGGCCUUCGGGUUGUAAACCGCUUUCGCUCAUGACGAAGCUUUGUGUGACGGUAGUGGGUAAAGAAGCACCGGCUAACUACGUG
rnacentral:rRNA from 1 species